GGGAGCUUGCUCCCUGAUGUUAGCGGCGGACGGGUGAGUAACACGUGGGUAACCUGCCUGUAAGACUGGGAUAACUCCGGGAAACCGGGGCUAAUACCGGAUGGUUGUCUGAACCGCAUGGUUCAGACAUAAAAGGUGGCUUCGGCUACCACUUACAGAUGGACCCGCGGCGCAUUAGCUAGUUGGUGAGGUAACGGCUCACCAAGGCGACGAUGCGUAGCCGACCUGAGAGGGUGAUCGGCCACACUGGGACUGAGACACGGCCCAGACUCCUACGGGAGGCAGCAGUAGGGAAUCUUCCGCAAUGGACGAAAGUCUGACGGAGCAACGCCGCGUGAGUGAUGAAGGUUUUCGGAUCGUAAAGCUCUGUUGUUAGGGAAGAACAAGUGCCGUUCAAAUAGGGCGGCACCUUGACGGUACCUAACCAGAAAGCCACGGCUAACUACGUGCCAGCAGCCGCGGUAAUACGUAGGUGGCAAGCGUUGUCCGGAAUUAUUGGGCGUAAAGGGCUCGCAGGCGGUUUCUUAAGUCUGAUGUGAAAGCCCCCGGCUCAACCGGGGAGGGUCAUUGGAAACUGGGGAACUUGAGUGCAGAAGAGGAGAGUGGAAUUCCACGUGUAGCGGUGAAAUGCGUAGAGAUGUGGAGGAACACCAGUGGCGAAGGCGACUCUCUGGUCUGUAACUGACGCUGAGGAGCGAAA
rnacentral:rRNA from 1 species